GGUCAGGCUGGCCUCGAACUCCUGACCUCAGGUUUUGAAUAUUUAGACCAAAUUCCCAAAUUCUGAAUUCCCAAAUUCUAAAUUCUGAAUUCCCAAAUUCCAAAUUCUGAAUAGUUGUAUAAUAUUCAGUUGUUAACGGUUCUAGGAAUUUCUGAGGAAUUUAUUGGAUUUCAGAAUGAGGUCUUGGAUUUUGUCAGUGUCUGACAGGGAAAGUGUACCCUAACCCAUUUCCUGAGGGAUGAUCAGUGCUUUCAUUUAUACAGGAAACGCCACCUUAUCUCCUUUCUGCCCUAUCCAUGACUUCUUUCUGGUUGUUGAGAAUUGCUGAGUUUGGUUCACUUGCUUACUUUAUCUGACUUAUUAAAGAUAAGGCUGCAUGGUCUAUUUCUGCCUUCUAGUUCUUUCCCUCUCUGCUCCAAGUAAAUUCUAACUCUUACAUGGUAUGUUUUGUUGUUAAAGUUUGCUAACUAAAUAGGUCUAACCACCUUUUGUUGAUUGAUGGAUAGAUAGCUACAAUAGUCCCAGGAGCUUUGUCAGUGUUAACAUUUUUCAGGUUCAGAAGUGAUACCAUUCACUUUGAUGUCUGUAUAUGUGAAUUUGCAAAUCUGUAAGUCCCUCUUUCUUUCUCGCUUUCCCUCUUCCCCUU